CAUCGUCGUUCAACGCGCCUUUGACAACUACCGUGUGUAGAUGUUCGAAACCGAGAGAAGACAAGUAUGCAUGCAGAACUUUUCGCCAAACGUCAGGGAGCGAUAGAGAGAGAGAGAGAGAGAGAGAGGGAGAGGAAGAGAGAGAAAGAGUGAGAGAGAGAGAGAGAGAGAAAGAGAGACGAAGGAAAGGUGCAAUCUGCAUAUUCAGGACAAAGAUAAUCCGGAGGAAUCGUAAAUGAAACGAGGAAAGAACAUCUCUCGGGGAAGUUUUAUGGAACAUUUACG